ACGGAGGGUGCGAGCGUUGUCCGGAAUCAUUGGGCGUAAAGGGCUCGUAGGCGGUCCGUCACGUCGGGAGUGAAAACUCAGGGCUCAACCCUGAGCGUGCUUCCGAUACGGGCGGACUAGAGGUAUGCAGGGGAGAACGGAAUUCCUGGUGUAGCGGUGGAAUGCGCAGAUAUCGGGAGGAACACCGGUGGCGAAGGCGGUUCUCUGGGCAUUACCUGACGCUGAGGAGCGAAAGCAUGGGGAGCGAACAGGA
rnacentral:rRNA from 1 species